CUCCUUUGUUCAUCCUGUUUUUUAAUUAAUUAUAGCUGUGCUGUUCAGUUCUGCUGUAGAAUACUUGAAAUGAAUCGACAGCAGGCCAACAUUCCUAUUUUUCCUGUACGGUCAGAAACAGUAAAGACCUUUCCUGUAACACUGGUGAAGUCAUCAAAUCAACUUAGAAAACAUAUAUUGCGAAUACUGAGAUAUCUCUAACACUGGUACGACUGUCUGAUCUUUUAUAUCAUGAAGGUGUUUUAAGUUUUGAAGAAAUCAGUUGUGCAUAUAAAUGUAACUCAGACCUGGGAGUGCGCAAUGUGCUGUGAUAUUUAAUGAAUUUGAUUAAGGGAACCUUAAGUAAUAAGGAGGUUGCAUGGGAAAAAUUGAUGUUGAAAUUUUCAUUGGAAAUGUAGCCAGCCUGACAUCAAGUAAAAUGAACAUCUGCUGCAUAUAUGGCGACAAAAACGUGUUUGAGUGUCAUAGUGUUUUAUCCUCAGUUGGCAGAAGUCUGGAAAGCCUCAGUAUAUACAAAUUUGUUUCUAAUUUGUUUGUAACUUUGUAGUCAGAAGAUUUUACAAACACUCAUUUACUUCUUAGUGACAAGAAAUAAACUUAGGAUAGUAGAGAAGGUAAGUAUUAAACAAGAUUUGGCAUUUACUUAUCCCUUCAUAAAAAUCUAACUAAACUAAACUUGAAUAAAGAGAACAUAGAAACUAUCAGUGACCAUAGAUAAUAAUUUUCAGUAUUACUAAAGAAUAUGCAGAAUAUUGAAGAAAGAAGAAUGAAGUAUUUAAAGAUUUCUCCUUUCAAAUAAAUAUAGUUUCUGAUGAGGAAGACCCUCUCAACUGCAAGAAUAACCGCAGAGAAUCCUCUUUUAUCAGUAAACAAGAGUAGUUUUGUAACCGCUGCUUGUGCUAUUUUGUUGGAAACAUAGUCGGUAGUGUCGGACACAGGAAACACCUGGUCGGUUCGCCUCUGGCCCUGAUAACAGUCUGUAGCUGUUUUAAAAUAGGCAACGAAUAAAUAAAUUCUGAGUGCAACCACAGAGGCAGGCCACCUUGAGAUCUUGAUUGAUUUCAGCUUAGAAUACGGUCAACGGAAACGGGCAACAGUGGAAAAAACAAGCUGAAAUCCAAGAUCAUUGAUUGUUGUGCAGAUCAGCGAGUCAAGUACGUGGUCAGGAAACAGUUUGAAGAUUCCUGACCGGAGUGGGAAUCUCUCCCACUUAAUGUUAUUGUUGUGACCCACGAUGAGUCACACAGGCCAUACUGCAGUUGAUUUUUCCCUCGAGUCCACGAGUCAGCGUCGUUUGCACUGGACUAAUAUGAUUAGGGUCAUUCUUCCAGUGGACACGAAAAUUUUCUCUUAGAGCAUACAACUUUAUUUUUUAUGUGCGAUGCUAAUGAGACCUGGCCUAUAGUAAUUAAGAUGACUGAACAGAAUGAUACAGCGUCUCUUAAUUCAGGCGACGAUGGUCAUCAACCGCAGCAUACGCGAUCCACUGGAAGUAGAUCCGAAACGGCACACAGCCCGUUGAAAUUGAGUCGCGUACAGAGCCUUGACCCGUCUAGGAAGUUAAUUCACGCGGCAAUUAAAAUACCGCGACAGCUGCGGUACCCCGGAACCGUUUCUAACGAUAACACUGUCCAACACGAAUUUUAAUCUGCAACCACUGGGUGGUUCCUACAGCUUCUCGCGUUCAAUGAAAAUCUGCUGUGUAAUCAGCUGUUGAGAUACAAUUUUAGUAGAAAUUAAUUGCAAUACUGAACCAUGGAGCAGUUACAUUGAUUUUGAAACAUUGCUUUAAAAUAUCAAUGGACUUGCAUUUUAGUUUGCUAUUUAUUGUUUGCUAAUUUGUUUAAUUUAACGAUUAUUGAAGUUACUACUUUAAUAAUAAACAUAAUUAAUGAUUUCUUAGAGAAGCAUUUGUAUUUCUUUAGUAAUUAUUAAAGAAAUGAAGAAUGAACCGGUUCAUCUGGAAGUUGUAGUGUUGAACAUUUAUUUGCGUGUUAAGUGUUGAAGCAGUGUCAGAGUUUUUAGUAGAAAACGACUAAUUAUUUAGUCAUACAACCGGAAGUAACUGUAUUAUUGAAUGGGAUGACUCAAACUGGACCAGAAAAAACACGAAGAGGGAAUACACAGAAGUUCUUCCUUUAAAAAACCAACACUGAAAAUACAUUUAGAGUGACUCACAUUUAAAUCAUUUCAAGAACGACUAAAUCUUACUGUAGUUCCCGUGUAUUAUCAGAGUACACUUAUUCAAUUUAAAUGACAGUAAAAUAUUCAGAUACUAAAAUAUUUAAGUCGUGAAAUAUUUAGAUAAUCAAAUAUUUAAACAAAAUAUUCCGAUAGUAAAAUAGUUAAGUAAACUAUUUAUACACAAAAAUAGUUAGACGAUAAAGCGUUCAAACGAUAAAAUAUUUAAACACUGACAUAAUUAUACAGUAAAACAUUUAAAGAUCUUUCAAAGAAAAACUAAGAAUAGAUAACUCAACCGAUACUAAACUAAAACUGCAACGAAUGAUCCCAACCAAUUUACUAAAUCCAGCGUUAAUUUUUCUUUCAGGCAUGCCAAGGGUGAGCUCGCACUUCCCCGAUGUCCAACGAUUGGAGGGAGAGCAACAGUUGGUCGUUGGAAGAUAACGUGCACCACAGUCGGGAUAUUCCAUUCCACGCGGGACACCCGAUAGAUCGGCUUACCGAACACGCGUGGUCUACAGAAAGAUACGUGUUUCCGCCCAGCGCGAUAUCCACCGGAACCCAUGAAAAUCUUGCGACUGAACAACCGCAGCGUUUUCCUCUUUCGCGACCGAACACUGUCGCACGUUCGUUAAAUCUAAAUAAUCUUUCAAAAUUACGAAACCGUUCGGUACAUUCGUAAUCGAUGAAUAUGUAAAAUUAGAAAGAAAUUCUGAUGUAUUCUCUUUGCUUUUUGUAUCUUUACGUCCGCACUUUGAAUCGCCUGUAUCGAGGAACGUUGGAAUGUACACGCGAAAACGCUGCAACGCGGAUGCCGUAGCCGGCACACCCCAUGCGAGAUCCCGAGGGCGACUGAACAACAGUGAACUUGAUUUGCGGAACAGCCGGAGAAGAAGGGAGGAUUCCGAAAGAAAGAGAGGAACACGUGGUGCGUUCCCCCGUGAAAGAGGGGACCCCUUGCUAGCAAUGGACGGAUGAAACUGCGUCGGCCGUACGAACGGAUCGUUUGAGGGAUUAGAAAUUCAGUUUUAGAGUCUCCGGGCACGAUGGAAAUAUUGUAACAAUUGUAUCUAGUGGUAGUCGGUGGGAAUACCGUUAACAGAUAACGGUCGCGUCGCAGAAUGCUUGGGAAAUUAAUGAGUGAGGCUGGGGAUGAUGAUUGGGACAGGAAAUAUCAAUGCUACGUAUGAGAAUGUUAUAAUUGACUCUGGAACUAUUAGAUGAGUUGAAUCGAGUUGGUUGAUUGUAGAGUUUUUACUUUGAUGGGAUUUAAGUUAGUAGACAUUUGUGUAUCUGUGUAGAUGCAGGAAUAGAAGCUUCGAAUAUUUGUAGAAAUGUAUUGUUCUAAAUUUUGUUGUAAUUGUUAUAAUUAUUGGAUUCUAAUUUUUGGUAGUUCUAGUGUUAAUAGGAAUAAUAUUGUAGUAUUUAUUAUACUGUCAGUGUUUAUACAGAAUUAAUAAGUAUAUUAUAAUACUAUAUAUAAUACUAUUAUAUUGUUACAACAUUAAAGUAGUAUUAUAAUUCACUGCAGCACUAUAGUUUCAUAAUACUCUAUAAUAGGUAUUAUAAAACUGUAAUACCAAUAUUGAUUCUCCUAACAAUUACCAUCCAGCAAUCUUUACAUAUCAGUGUUCCUAUUUAUUUCAAACAUUAUUUUAAGAUUACCAUUGCUCACUUUAAAACUCCCAUGUCACUCGUUAAUUGUCUCCACGCAAACUUAACACGCUAACACUAUCUUCUGCUAACAUACCUCCAACUGUACUAUGCUGAACGACAUCCUGGUAGCGCGCGACGAUUCAAACCUCAGCGAUAUUUCCACCUUUAGAGAGCCUCUAUUUUCUCAUAGAAAUAGCAGUCCAUGUUUUUAUUACAGAAUUUCAAGGUUUAUACAAAAUCCCAAGUGGUGCAGUAUCUCCAAAGAUUGAUCUACCCAAGAAGAACAUUACAAAGUUAAGGGUUGCAAAAUAAACCUAUAAUUCUGUUUGAACGAACCGUCUUUAACACUAGAAUACCAAAUGGCUCAAAAUGACCCAUUUCUGAUAUCUUCCUCCACAAUUAUUAGAAAGAUACAAAUGCUAGAAGAAAUCACUGAAUAACUUGAUCGGAUAGCAUGCAAAUUGAGAUACAAGUCAAUUGAAAUCUCAAUAAACACUCUUAUAAUUCUUAUGGAAGAAAUGGUAAAACGUCAGUUUGACUUUGACGGGUCAAAAUUACCCAUCUCAGAUUUCUUUUCACGAUUAUUAAAUGAUGCUUCUCUGGGAGUUAUUAAAGAGAUUGAUUUGGUAACAUGCAAAUUGUAUAAAGUCUCUGUAGAUACACUCUUGGAGUUUCUAUAGAGAAGUUUCAAAAAGUCAGUUUGACUGCUCAGUAGUUCUAGUGUUAAGGAAACCGUCCAUAAUCCAGAGGACAUCCCGUUUCCACUGGAAUCCGAAAUCGCGUUAUCGUUGAUCAGUUAGAUGUCCAGUUGGAAAGAAAAGUGUGUCGCGUUGAAGGAAAAAGAAAGAAGGCCAGAUAAAUUCAACGGCGUUUGAAGGAGG